GCUUCUCAUGGAAUUUUCAUAAACUAAAUUAAUCAAAUGCUGAACCGAACCAACUUUUUGUUUGGUCCAUUUCAAGAUUGCAAACUAACCUAACAGAAAAUCGAUUUUCCUAAACCGAACUCACCGUUUUAACUAAAUCCGCAUGCUUACCUACAACAUUGGAACGUUGCACAUGUGUAGCCAUAAAUAUACACAACUUUUUAACAUUUGCACCCAAAAAAAUUAAAAAAAAAAAUAAUAAUAUAUAUAUAUACAACUAAACCAAAAUUUUGAAACUAGAGGUCACUAGUAAGCAAUAUAAAGUAUAACUAGAAAAGAAAAACAUAUAUUUUUAAUCUUUACAUUGCAAAAAUUCAAGACUGCAAUGGGGGGAAAUGAAUUGAGAUUGCAUUUGUGAUUUGAGUUUUACAUCAUUAAAGUUUUAUGUAUAAUUGUGCUUUCUAUUCAGAUCAUUCAAAGGACGGUUUUCUUGUGGAAGUUGAAGCUACUAAAGGAAGGAGACCUUUUAAUAUUUUGCGAUUUUACAAUCAUUUUAUGAUGUCUGAAGAGAAACAUAAGCAUGCCAAGAGAGCCGGCCCUAUGCUCAAGCAGUAGAAGCAAUGACUUCCGGCCGCUAAUUAUUAUCAACAAAAGCAACUAUUCCGGCCGCUAAUUAUUAUCAACAAAAGCAACUACAUUUUCUUAAAAAUGUGUUUUAGUGCAGUGGUUGAUUAGCCAUUGUAUUUAUAUACUAAACCCGGAUUUGAAUUGUCCCACUAACAGAAUUUUUAUUUUCAGUCAUUUUUUUAUUUUUGGUUUCUGGCCUUAAAAUUUCUAGGACCGGCUCUGCAUGCCAAACACAAUAACUAGGUUUUGAUUCGAUAAAUUCAUAAACUUAAACACAGAAAACAUAUAAUUAGCCCACUUUCGUGACUCAAAAUCGUUUAAUAGACUCAACUAUUGGUUAUUAUAAAUUGAAAGUAUAAAUCAAACCACUUUCUCCGAGGAACAAAGCAUCGAUUCUCACACAACUUGACCUUUUUUUGGACUACUUUUAUUUAGGACCUCAAGUACUUUUGUAAGUAAAGUUAGUAAAAGAGCAUUUUCAAGAGUCAAUUUGUUGAACCACCACUGAUCCUCAACACUUUCGAAUUUAGGUAAACAAUUUUGUUAAUUUAUUCAAAUAUUCACAAAACUCCAAACGCGAAAUUGUAGUGAUCAACGCUACACUCUUUACAAAGAUUAAUAGAAAGUGAGAGAAAAGAACAUUUUUGUUGAAUAAAUUAACUAAAUUUUUCCAAAGUGAAUGAACACUAUUUCAUGGAUGGUUUAACAAACAUUUAUAUAGUAACACAAUCAUUUUGAACUCAGACUGAAAUUAAACUGUCUAAAACAAUGACACUAAUAAUCCAUUUGUUUCAAAUAUGAAAAAUGAACUAUUGUUUGUGAUUGGUAUUUUGAAAGUUAGUUUUACCAUUUGACCAACUCAAAUGCAUCAUCUAUAACCUGUUUCAUGCUUCUUUUAUCUUUAUUCUGUAACCUCUUCUACAUCUAUCUAUCUAUAUAUAUAUAAAAUUGUCUGCCUCUCUCCUAGGCCAUCCAGCUGGAAACUCGCUCUCUGAGGGGUUGACACGUGUCAAUUAAAACGCGCCGUAUCACUUAACUCUGUCGUCGUGGGCUUUGAUCGCGUUUUCUGAGAUUUGGCUCUGAAUCCGGCCCGCUGAGAUGAAUGUCUAACCCUAAUUGAAGCGAAGAAACGAUGUUCGUCUCUCCUCUUCAUGCGGCGUUUGUGUGCAGCAUGUCACGAGCGUUGACCAAGCGGCAUGACAAGCGACGAGAUGGACAUCAUUGGAACAAACGACGGAGUGUGACGAGAGAUAGCAAAGACAAUUGCUGCAGUUCAAGCCUUCAUAGGGAAGCUGGAUAGGCUCUCGGACAGGGCUGGGCUAGGAGGAGAUCGGGACACUACAAAUGUCUUCGAAAGUUCAAAUCUUGCCGCAUCAGUCAUAACAACCAUAGGUGAGGAACGCAUGGCUGCUCUUGGAGGUUCCUUGGAAACCAUAGCAGAAGCCAAAGCCGGAAUUACUAAACAUGGUCGUCCAGUUAGGUGGCUUUUGCUUUUAUGAUCAUUAGCUUAUAAGCACAUUACUUGAUUGAGUUUUAUAAAACUUUUAGGUUGGUUUAGGUGGACCUUUUCUUGCUCAUAUCAAGGACAUUAUUUACUCUAAAGCAGCUUCAUUGUCGUCACCGGUUGUAUUGGCAUCUAGCAUUGGGUCUGGACGUCUGGUUCAUCAAUCAAAGGCAUCACCAACAAAGAUGGGAUUGGGCUUUGUCAGUCUUGUGACAUUGUUAUACAAAGUGAAAAAGAUGAUAAACCAAUUGUUGAGCUUUGUGAUGUAAAUCUACGCAUGCUUGGAAACCACCAGCUCCAAAACGAUGUACUGCCACAUGUAUAUCUUCGUGAUCAAGUUUGAAGAAGCUGCUGCACAACAAAGCUGAAGCAUUCCUUUCAAAUGACUACUAUGAGUCACACCUUGAAUGGAUGGACUAGGGAGGUCUGGAAACUUAUCCUCUUACGCCUUGAUCCAGUUUGCAAUCUAUUUUCUUCAUGGCUACAGCUCUUAUCAUGGUUGAGGCAAGGCUCAGCAGCUGCUCCUAAAACGAUGAGGACUGUGGUGGCUCAAGCUGCAAUUUUUUCUUCUAUGGCGUCAACGCAACAAACGCAACAACGUUCUUCACAACCAAGAGUCAAUAAAGGUCAUAAGUUUGUUUAGAGUCAUCAACCACAAGUGCGUGACUGGUUUCCUGUUUUUUUUUUCUGUUGAGAGCACUACUCUGUUUUGUACUGGCUUCCUGUUUUUUCUUUAUUUUUGCCAUGGAGUUCAGUUAGAUUAGGUUCUUACAUUUGUAGUUUCAUAUUUCAUUUUUCAAUGAUAUUAACAUAUUUUAGCCAAAAAGAAAAAUAAUACUAUCAGACUUUACAACACAGUUUGCACAUUAUCUGAAAGUGCUAUUUAUUUUCAGUUUCGUAUGUUAUAUCGAUUAGCAUUCUAACGUAUCUUACACAUGAAGGAUGAAGGAGUCAACUUUAGUAUACGAAAAUAAUACAUGAGGAGAAUGUAGCUUAUGGAUAAAAAGAUUAAAAUGUUUUUCCGAUAACAUAUUUUGUAAUGACAAGAUAAAGAAAACUUAAACGUCAAAAACGACAUCCCUAAAUAUGCAAAAAGUUAACCAAUAUAUGAUAUAAAACAAAUCAACUUCAGAAUUCUACAAUUUCACAUGCAAUAUAUCAAAUUACCUUCUCCAGGUAUUAAGAAUUUUUUAAAAGCAAUAAAAGUUAAUACAAAAGGUUAGCAUUUGUUUCUAUUAUAGAAAAAAAUAAAACCAAUAGAAACAUAUGCAAAUUGCUUAAAAAAUCAUCCCAUUAUAUUUUUUGAAAAACGUUAUAUAAAAAUAUAAUCCAUUGUUUUCAAAUAAGUCUACACAACUGGUGUAGAACAUAACCUCAUAAAAUAUAAUCCAUACAACAUAAACUAAUCAAACAUACUUAUAACUAAAAAUAAUAAUAGUAAUAU